rnacentral:lncRNA from 1 species
GAACCCCAGAGGAGUGGGAACCAGACUUCUCCCACCCCAGGAAGACAGUGCUGGUUCAAAAUCCUUCAUUGGCCAAAAGGACAGUUUUACGCACAAGAAAAUGCAGGAGAACAGAAACAGGAAUCAUUGGCACGAACCCAAACCUCAAUGAUGCAGGUGACGUACAAGAAGAAGCAGGCUGUCUCCACUAAGCAUCUGGGGCCCAGCUGCUGCCCUUUGCCACCACGGGGAGGCAGCAGACCAACACCCACAUGUGGAACACACUUGGCACCCUACAGUGACCUCGUGGGUGUAAUGGUCAGUGCUUCACUGCCUCUUCCAAAUCGCACGCAAAUUUCUCCUGUGGCUAACUCUAACCCAGAACCAGACGGUGAAGGGAAUUCUGGGAAAUCAGCUCCACCUUAGCUAAACAAAAAGCCGCUGUACCAGGUUUCAUCCUGUCAAUGUAUUUGUAGAUGCCUUUGAUUUUUCUUUAUAACACUAAAUACAGAAUAAUUCGAAUAUACAAGAGAAUAUAAAUACAGAGUCUUUCCAUGGUUUCCUUUAUGAAAUUACUAACUUUCUGUCAUCUUGAGUACCCAGUCAUCUUGGAUCAUUUCUUGCCAUGUGCUUAUUGGGAUGAAUUAAAACUACUGGCCUAUUUGUAUUUCACUUAUAUAUAUGAAAUGUUGAGUCUAUUCCUUAUACUUGCAGCAAAAACAGAUCCUCUGUGGUAUGUAUUUCAUGUAAAUGAGGAUUAGACAAACUUCAGGAUCCAUUUGGCAUUAGUAUCUGUGUAACAAUAGGCUUAUGUAUUUAUGGAGCUAGGUAGGUAUGUCUACAUGCUUGUUCUAACUCUCUCUCUAUAUAUAUGACCAGAUAGUGCUAUAGAGACUUAAGAACAGUCUUGAUGACUAUACAGACAGAUAUCUAAAAACCGAGAGCUGAGAAAUUGGUGUUGUAACUUCUGAGUAAUUAUUUCAACUACUGGACACCUGUCACUAAUCCAAAA